CCUGGUUGAUCCUGCCAGUGGUAUAUGCUUGUCUCAAGGACUAAGCCAUGCAAGUCUCUAGUAUAAGUGAUUCUGAUGACGAAACUGCGAAUGGCUCGGUAAAACAGCUAUAAUUUCUUCGAUGGUAACCUACUACUCGGAUAANCGUAGUAAUUCUAGAGCUAAUACGUGCUAUAAACGCGGGACUGGUUUUGGUCCGUGGUGCGAAUUAGAUAACAACACCAACAUAUGGUGAUUCAUAAUCGUCUUUCUGAUCGCUUGCCUUUUGUGCAGCGACGCAUCGUUCAAAUUUCUGACCUAUCAACUUUCGAUGGUAAGGUAGUGUCUUACCAUGGUGGUGACGGGUAACGGACCGUGGGUGCGGGACUCCGGAGAGGGAGCCUGAGAAACGGCUACCACAUCCAAGGAAGGCAGCAGGCGCGCAAAUUACCCAAUCCGGAAAUCGGGAGGUAGUGACAAGAAAUAUCAAUAGGGGACCCGAUGGGUCUUCUAAUUGGAAUGAGAACAAGGCAAACAGCUUAUCGAGGAUCCAGCAGAGGGCAAGUCUGGUGCCAGCAGCCGCGGUAAUUCCAGCUCUGUAAGCGUAUACCAAAGUUGUUGCAGUUAAAACGCUCGUAGUCGGAUUUUGGUGGCCUNGCGAGUGUGCGCGUCGAGCGUGUACUUGUCGGGGGUGCUUUUGUGGGCAGCGUGCGUCUGGCGGCUUUACUGUCGUUCGCGUGAUGCGCUUCCACCGUUUACUGUGAAAAAAUUAGAGUGUUCAAAGCAGGCGUUUGCCGUGAAUACAUUAGCAUGGAAUAAUUGAAUAGGACUCGGUUUCUAUUUUGUUGGUUUGUGAGAGCCGAGUAAUGAUUAAGAGGGACAGUUGGGGGCAUUUGUAUUCCGGCGCUAGAGGUGAAAUUCUUAGAUUGCCGGAAGACAAACCGCUGCGAAAGCGUCUGCCAAGGAUGUUUUCAUUGAUCAAGAACGAAAGUAAGGGGAUCGAAGACGAUCAGAUACCGUCGUAGUCUUUACUAUAAACGAUGAGGACUGGGGAUCGGGCGUGGAAUUGCGAUGACCCGCCCGGCACCCUCCGGGAAACCAAAGUGUUUGCUUUCUGGGGGGAGUAUGGUCGCAAGGCUGAAACUUAAAGGAAUUGACGGAAGGGCAUCACCGGGUGUGGAGCCUGCGGCUUAAUUUGACUCAACACGGGAAAACUUACCAGGUCAGGACAUAGUGAGGAUUGACAGAUUGAGAGCUCUUUCUUGAUUCUAUGGUUGGUGGUGCAUGGCCGUUCUUAGUUGGUGGAGUGAUUUGUCUGGUUAAUUCCGUUAACGAGCGAGACCUGGGCGUGCUAAAUAGGAGCUAGUACCAUUCUGGUAGUGAGUUACUCCUUCUUAGACGGACUGCGGGCGUCUAGUCCGCGGAAGCUCCAGGCAAUAACAGGUCUGAGAUGCCCUUAGAUGUUCUGGGCCGCACGCGUGCUACACUGAGCGGGUCAGCGGGUGCGGAUGCGCGAAAGCGUUUCCUAAUCCCCAAAUCCGCUCGUGCUGGGGAUAGACGGUUGCAAUUUUCCGUCUUGAACGAGGAAUACCUUGUAAGCGUGGGUCAUCAUCCCGCGCUGAAUACGUCCCUGCCCUUUGUACACACCGCCCGUCGCUCCUACCGAUUGAGUGGUCCGGUGAGGCUUUGGGACUGACGUGAGGGGAGCGUUUACGCUCGUUUCUUGUCGGGAACUUAGUCGAACCUUAUCACUUAGAGGAAGGAGAAGUCGUAACAAGG
rnacentral:rRNA from 1 species